rnacentral:rRNA from 1 species
GGCGGACGGGUGAGUAAUGCCUAGGAAUCUGCCUGGUAGUGGGGGACAACGUUUCGAAAGGAACGCUAAUACCGCAUACGUCCUACGGGAGAAAGCAGGGGACCUUCGGGCCUUGCGCUAUCAGAUGAGCCUAGGUCGGAUUAGCUAGUUGGUGAGGUAAUGGCUCACCAAGGCGACGAUCCGUAACUGGUCUGAGAGGAUGAUCAGUCACACUGGAACUGAGACACGGUCCAGACUCCUACGGGAGGCAGCAGUGGGGAAUAUUGGACAAUGGGCGAAAGCCUGAUCCAGCCAUGCCGCGUGUGUGAAGAAGGUCUUCGGAUUGUAAAGCACUUUAAGUUGGGAGGAAGGGUUGUAGAUUAAUACUCUGCAAUUUUGACGUUACCGACAGAAUAAGCACCGGCUAACUC